rnacentral:rRNA from 1 species
AUUGAACGCUGGCGGCAGGCCUAACACAUGCAAGUCGAACGGUAACAGGAAGCAGCUUGCUGCUUUGCUGACGAGUGGCGGACGGGUGAGUAAUGUCUGGGAAACUGCCUGAUGGAGGGGGAUAACUACUGGAAACGGUAGCUACUACCGCAUAACGUCGCAAGACCAAAGAGGGGGACCUUCUGGCCUCUUGCCAUCGGAUGUGCCCAGGUGGGAUUAGCUAGUAGGUGGGGUAACGGCUCACCUAGGCGACGAUCCCUAGCUGGUCUGAGAGGAUGACCAGCCACACUGGAACUGAGACACGGUCCAGACUCCUACGGGAGGCAGCAGUGGGGAAUAUUGCACAAUGGGCGCAAGCCUGAUGCAGCCAUGCCGCGUGUAUGAAGAAGGCCUUCGGGUUGUAAAGUACUUUCAGCGGGGAGGAAGGGAGUAAAGUUAAUACCUUUGCUCAUUGACGUUACCCGCAGAAGAAGCACCGGCUAACUCCGUG